AGAAACAAAAGAAAAACAUUUUGAGCAGAAUAUUCCAGAAGUCUUAAGGGAUACAUUUCUAAGUAUAGCUUCUCCAUUGAUUUGAGAUCUAGUCAGGGAAUGGUAUGGUAGAAUGGAAAACCUGUCAUGGUAGCAGGCUUGUCAGGCUAUAAAAGAGACCCUGUUUGGGAAUAUUUUAAUGAAGAUUAUAUCAAACAACAAAAAUGCACUUUUUGUAGAAAACAACAAUUAAAUCAAGGCUUUGUGACCAGCGAU